AAACCAUACAUAAGGCAUUAACGCAGCAAAUCUUUAAAUUACUCCCAAGCUUCACACACAUUUUCAUUCUCUAAUUGCUUGAAAGAUGUGAUUUCAUUCCUCAUUCU